AGUUUAUGUCCCACAUGGUCUUCAUUGUGUUGAGAGCAGAGAAAUCAUUUCCAUAGAGAGGAGGCUUUGCAUCAUCAGCUGAUCCUCCAGAGAACUGAGAAGGUUUAUAGUCCUGUGAGUUCAACACUGCAGGACUCAGAUCUGUCAGUCAACACAGCAGAAAGCACAACCACCAUGACUCUCAUCACCAUCCUCAUCUGGACGCUGGCCUGCUGCUGUUUUACAGGAUGCAGCGGUCAGGUGACUGUGACUCAGCCUCCAGUAGUGACAUUUACUCCAGGAUCCACUGUUACUCUCAAAUGCACAACCAGCCCUGCUGUGUAUUCAAAUUGUAAUAAUGAAGGCCAUUGGUACCUUCAGAAACCUGGACAGCCUCCUAAACUUCUUAUAUACACAGCUUCAACCUUGUUCUCAGGAACUCCGUCUAGAUUCAGAGGCAGUAGAUCUGGUUCUCAGUACACUUUAACCAUCAGUGGUUUCCAGGCUGAAGAUGCUGGAGAUUAUUACUGUCUGGGUGCCCAUGGUGGUGCGUUCACACAGUGAUUUAGAGCCGUACAAAAACCUCCUUGAGCCUGACUGAAGGCUGCAGGUGCAGAGAGUUGAUGAAGAGACUGUGAUGAAGAUAACUGGUCCAGUGAACACAACACAACAGUCAUCAAGCAGAAA